AUUGAACGCUGGCGGCAUGCCUUACACAUGCAAGUCGAACGGUAACGGGCCUUCGGGUGCCGACGAGUGGCGGACGGGUGAGUAAUACAUCGGAACGUGCCCGAUCGUGGGGGAUAACGAGGCGAAAGCUUAGCUAAUACCGCAUACGAUCUAAGGAUGAAAGCAGGGGACCGCAAGGCCUAGCGCGGACGGAGCGGCCGAUGGCAGAUUAGCUAGUUGGUGGGGUAAAAGCUUACCAAGCCGACGAUCUGUAGCUGGUCUGAGAGGAUGAUCAGCCACACUGGGACUGAGACACGGCCCAGACUCCUACGGGAGGCAGCAGUGGGGAAUUUUGGGCAAUGGGCGCAAGCCUUAUCCAGCCAUGCCGCGUGCAGGAUGAAGGCCUUCGGGUUGUAAACUGCUUUUGUACGGAACGAACAGCCUUCUUUUAAUACAGGAGGGUCAUGACGGUACCGUAAGAAUAAGCACCGGCUAACUACGUG
rnacentral:rRNA from 1 species